CGUGGAGCCUGGGUGGGCGGGCGGGCACGAUUCCUUUUGAAGCGCGCGGACGGAUUGCGCUUGUUUGCCUUCCCUCCUUUUUGCCGCCUGCAUGGGAAGAAGACGCACUGGACAGCGCCGCCUCUGAGCUGCCUGCGCCCCAGCAUGCAGCUCCUCAGGGUCGCCUGGGCUUUGGCUGGAGCGGCGCUGUGCUGCGCGCUGCUCCUCCUGCUCCACUCGCGCCUCCUCAAAGAAGGUCAGUUGGCAGCAGGAACCUGUGAAAUCGUCACGUUGGACAGAGACAGCAGCCAGCCACGGAGGACCAUCGCCCGGCAGACUGCCCGCUGUGCCUGCAAGAAAGGCCAAAUCGCCGGCACGACGAGAGCCAGGCCGGCCUGCGUGGACGCUCGUAUUGUGAGGACCAAGCAGUGGUGUGAUAUGGUACCAUGUCUGGAGGAUGAAGGCUGCGAUCUGUUGGUAAACCAGUCAGGCUGGACUUGUACACAGCCCGGGGGUCGGGUCAAAACCACCACGGCUCUAUGACGUGAAUGGAAUCUCCCUCCUCAAAUCGCAUUCCCACCUAAAACAUGGCGGAGCACAUUGAUGAACCAGACAGACAAAAAUCAGCCCCUGGUCCAGAGCAGAUACCAUCACAAACAACAACAACAACAACAAAUGCCAGCGGGCAUUAUCAACAAGGUCUCUUAACAGUGGCAGAAGUUCCAGAGGUGUGGAGAGCUCAUAGUGUGGACUCUAUGGAAGCCAGCCUGGGGCUCUCUUUGCUCCUGCCCACCUGCUGUAGAUAACUCGCUGUCUGUCAUCGGCUCGACAUCUGCCUCCGACUGCCUGUCUGUAUCUCUGCUUUGUAAAUGGGCGGUGCCCCCUAGUGCCACGGAGGACUUACGUCCACACAGCGCCUCACACAGAGCACUGGAGAGCCUCGUGGACUGUGGAGUGUGAUGGGCCCUACCUUGUCAGGACUAACUGGAUGUCCGCCACACCCAUUUUUGAGGACUCUAGUGCUUUAAGAACUGGACCAUGAGGUUCUGCUACAACCGGAGACUGUAAUGACCCCUCCAUCCACCCAGUGGAACUGCCCACUCUGUGAAUAGGCCUUCUUCUGGAGUACAACUUUGGCACUCUGAACAAUUUUUACAGACCAAAGAGGAAGAAUAUCAUACAAACACCUUAAAAAAAGGAGUUCAGAGGAUGUACUCAGUGAGGAAAUGGAUUGAAAAUAUACAGAAAGCCCCAUCACUGAACACCAAUGUCCACGUAUGUAAAAGCACUGACUUUAAAGAAUCGAUCUGUGCAAAUGAACUGACCAACCAGGUCAGACAUGAACAAAAAUCUGAGGAGUACCUUUAAUACUUUGCAGACGUUUUUUCUCAGACUGUACCCUCCACUGUAUUUUGAAACUGGAAAUAUAGGUACUGUAUACAUAUGUAUGUGUAUAAAGAAAAUCAGAUUUGCAUUUUUCAGUAGCAACAUUUGGGACAAUUUGCAAUAAGCAUGGUUGGUUACAGUUAAAGAGUACAGCGCUGAUCAUCAUCAGACAAAAAGCGAAUUCUGAAAAAAAAAUUCCUGUCAUUUCUGAUUGCCAGAAGAGGAAAAAAAGAAGUCAUUAAAUGUAUUUUGAAAGGCCUACAGUUAUAUAUUUAACAGUUUUAUAUGUUGUAUCUUUGUAGAGAACCUUAUUUAACAUGAAUAAUGUGGUGGAAAUGGCAGUGAUAGAAUGUGGAUAAUAAGCUCUGUUUCAUGCUGGUCUGUCCUGCUCUUCUCCUCCACCAGUAGCACCAGUCCUUUUAGACCCAUUUAAAGAAAAAAAAGAAAAAAAAAACAUGACCGCCACUUCUUCUAUACUAAACAGACGAAUGAAAAAAAAGAAAAGGACAGAACGUGGAAGGAAAAAAAAGAAACAAUCGAUCACUGAGAACUGAACUUUAUAUCCCACUUUAGUAUGCAGAGCCAUGGAAGUCGCUAUUUGCUAUUGUAUUGUAAAGGUGUAGAAAAAAAUACGGAGUCAUUUCUCUAUGGAUUUUAUCUAAUUUAUUUUUGUGCUUGUGUUUGUUUGCACAGUGCUGCCAUCAGAGUGCUGACACAUACAGAGAGAGUUAAGAAAGUCUUAGAAAUCAUUUACAUGAAAUACUUUUUUAUUAUGAAAUAUUUUAAGAAUAAAUUAAAUAUGUGAAAGAAGAGUCAAGUUGCUAAAAUAGAAUUUCACUAUCAUG